rnacentral:rRNA from 1 species
GGCCGCGAUCAUACCAUGUCGUUUGAUCACCGAAGUUAAGCAACGUCGGGCCCGGUUAGUACUUGCAUGGGUGACCGGCUGGGAAUACCGGGUAUUGCGGCCG